AUUGAACGCUAGCGGGAUGCCUUACACAUGCAAGUCGAACGGAGUGGCGAACGGGUGAGUAAUGUAUCGGAACGUGCCCAGUAGCGGGGGAUAACUACGCGAACGCGUAGCUAAUACCGCAUACUAUUGGAGCGGCCGAUAUCGGAUUAGCUAGUUGGGGGGGUAACGGCUCACCAAGGCGACGAUCCGUAGCUGGUUUGAGAGGAAGACCAGCCAAACUGGGACUGAGAAACGGCCCAGACUCCUACGGGAGGCAGAAGGGGGGAAUUUUGGACAAGGGGGGAAACCCUGAUCCAGCCAUCCCGCGUGUGCGAUGAAGGCCUUCGGGUUGUAAAGCACUUUUGGCAGGAAAGCGGUAUCUAACCAGAAAGCCACGGCUAACUACGUGCCAGCAGCCGCGGUAAUAC
rnacentral:rRNA from 1 species